rnacentral:rRNA from 1 species
CAGUCGCCACGGUAAUACGUAGGUGGCAAGCGUUGUCCGGAAUUAUUGGGCGUAAAGGGCUCGCAGGCGGUUUCUUAAGUCUGAUGUGAAAGCCCCCGGCUCAACCGGGGAGGGUCAAUGGAAACUGGGAAACUUGAGUGCAGAAGAGGAGAGCGGAAUUCCACGUGUAGCGGUGAAAUGCGUAGAGAUGUGGAGGAACACCAGUGGCGAAGGCGACUCUCUGGUCUGUAACUGACGCUGAGGAGCGAAAGCGUGGGGAGCGAACAGGAUUAGAUACCCCGGUAGUCCCUGUCUCUUAUAC